rnacentral:rRNA from 1 species
GGACGGGUGAGUAAUACAUGGGAAUCUGCCUGGUAGUGGGGGACAACGUUUCGAAAGGAACGCUAAUACCGCAUACGCCCUACGGGGGAAAGCAGGGGAUCUUCGGACCUUGCACUAAUAGAUGAGCCUAGGUCAGAUUAGCUAGUUGGUGGGGUAAAGGCUCACCAAGGCGACGAUCUGUAGCGGGUCUGAGAGGAUGAUCCGCCACACUGGAACUGAGACACGGUCCAGACUCC